rnacentral:rRNA from 1 species
AACGAACGCUGGCGGCAGGCUUAACACAUGCAAGUCGAGCGCCCCGCAAGGGGAGCGGCAGACGGGUGAGUAACGCGUGGGAACGUACCCUUUGCUACGGAAUAGCUACGGGAAACUGGAAUUAAUACCGUAUGUGCCCUACGGGGGACAGAUUUAUCGGCAAAGGAUCGGCCCGCGUUGGAUUAGCUAGUUGGUGGGGUAAUGGCCUACCAAGGCGACGAUCCAUAGCUGGUCUGAGAGGAUGAUCAGCCACAUUGGGACUGAGACACGGCCCAAACUCCUACGGGAGGCAGCAGUGGGGAAUAUUGGACAAUGGGCGCAAGCCUGAUCCAGCCAUGCCGCGUGAGUGAUGAAGGCCUUAGAGUUGUAAAGCUCUUUCACCGGAGAAGAUAAUGACGGUAUCCGGAGAAGAAGCCCCGGCUAACUUCGUGCCAGCCGCCGCCGUAAGAC